AUUUAAAACCUUCUUUUAGAAGUACAUAGUGUUUUAGGUUAAUUUUUCAAACACAAUCCAUUAAUUUUGAUGCUUCACUUCUUGGUUGUCUGCCUUCAUUCCUCCCAAGUGAAAGUGCUGAAUACCUCUUUUGCUGAGAUGUUUCAUGUUGGGUGUCUGAAAUAAGAGAUAAUUUAAGAAGAAAAGCAUGUCUUUCCACUGAUAAUUGUAGUGGUAGAAUACCUACUUAGACAUGCAGGCAAUAAUCUCUAACAAGCAAAAAAAAAAUCCUACAAUAUAUUUAGACAUCAAUAAGAAAUGAAAUGAGUUAGCAGCAGGAGAAACAAAUGGUCUGUGGUUAAUUUGAUCACUUCCUUUGCUACAAAAAAAAAAAAAAAAAAAAUCAAGUUUUAGAAGGCUUAUUCAAAUGUGAUGGGGACAGCCCCUAAGCAACAGUAGUAGGAACAUCCACUGCUAAUCAUUUUCUUUGCCCAUUUUUAUUCCAGCCUACAAUUGUUCUGCUUCACAGAAAGGAAAUAUGACAAACGUGGUUUUGUUUGAACAGUGACACUUGAGCUAAACGUUCAAAAAUACAUCUGCUAAAAAUUCUUAGUGUUUUAAAUUUUCAUUGAAAACCAAAAUAUAAUAGAAUUUGGCAUAUGUAAGACAGCUGACAAACCUUCUGCAGAAGUUGUCCUUGCUUUGCUUUUACUUAGCACAACCUGUUUAAGCUAGGUAAUAAUGGAACAAGAAGGAAGGGUGUUGAAAUGCUACAUACCUUUUGUAUCACAAGAAGAGUGGGGCAGUCAGAGGCUCACUUACAGGUGUUUGGUUCCUUGAAAUUAAGCAUGGAUUGAAUUCUAAACUAUACAUAUAAUUUUAAUUUGAGAUGAAUCUGGAGCUGAAAAAGGCCUGUAUUAUGGACCAGAUUUUGAGUCAGAUUGAGAACAGAAAGCUUCAAAAAACAAAUAAAAUAAAAUAAAAAUUUAUCAUCUAAAGCAGAAUCUGGUAAUGACAGUCUAAGAGAUUGUCCCUGGCAGAUCUGAAACAACUCUGAUCCUGUUUCAGUAUCUGGGCUAAAUUUGGCUGUUGUUCAAACUGCAGAUUAAGAGAGAACAUCCAUGGCUGACUUUUUUUUUUUUUUUAAUUUUAAACAGUUCAUUCAUUAUUUGAUAAGCAGUCAUUGUUUCUGCCCACUCCAGAUCCCAGUGCUUUUGUAUCAUGUGGCCAUUUCAUUGUGCAUUACCUUUUUCCAAAAUUUUCCUGUUUCAAAUCGUGAAUUUGGUGUGUGGAGUUUCUCUUUCCCCUUGAAAGCAGUUGGAGUAUCUCUCUGCAAGCAUAUAAUAAUAAAACUUGUAAGCAUUUUUAUUUGUAAGCACUUAACUCAGAUGUUGGUUGAAAAGCUUGGCAUUGCUCAGUAAACAAUCCUUCGGGGUGCUCUGCUAGGCUGAGACUGAAAUGAAGGCAGUCUGCCUGGAUUUGUUAUUCAUUCAUGGUGUCUCCCCUUCAAAUGAUUGUCUUCCUGAGAAGCUUUUAAAUUCAUUGCUUACUUGGCAUCACCACCAGCGUGCAAGAGAUCUUGAAACAGGUGAGUGCAGCCCACUCCCCCGCAAUCCAUGCUAAGGAAGCUCAAGAGACACAGGCAGAAGGGCAGAAGCUACCAAAUUUGUAUGGUAAAAGACCAAAAGAACUAGCCAUUAGGUAUUCCCAGACCAAAGAGAGUUUCUGCAGUGUCAUGCAUCGUCUUACACAUUUGAGGAUCUGUCAGUGGAACAUAAGGACAUCUGUUGAAAGCUUUGUAAGGUGAAGCCUUUUAAUCCGAUUACUAACAAAAGAUCACUUUUGCUAAUGGGAACAUGCUUACGAUGUGUUAUCUUUGCACUGCAACAAGAAAACUCUGUAUAUUUCAAUAGUGUCUGUUAUAGCUAUAUAUCUUUUGCUGUCUUUACAUCUUGGGACAGAAUUCUGAUAUUUAUUUCAUUUAAGCUCUUUACUAGAUAUUUGUGUAUCUUUAUGUCUUGUAGGAUGUGGAACCUAAUUUUGUUUCUGUGUGAUUUUUGUUUAUGAAUCUUUCAUGAAUUUGCUUCGGACAAUACUGGCUACCUUCCACCUAUCUUCUGUGAGGAAAGCAAACAUUUGCAACCGAGAAGCUGCUUGUAUUCAUAAGCAUUCUUUUCAGAAGCACCUAGUGCUGUGUACAUGCAGGUGCAUGAGGUCUUUUUUGUUUCCUUGUUUUCCAAUAGCAAUAUUGGACAGCUGCGUGCAAAGUGUGAAAGAGAACUAAAGUCAGGAAGAAACAGGGUGAUCAUUACGUUCUUUUUCUUUUUUUUCUCCUUUUUUCCCCUUCUUAUUUCCACUAUGUUGCAUAUAAUUUAAAGACUAACAUACUGAAUCUCCAAGAGUAGGUGGAAAUAUUGAGGGCAACUGACAUAAAGUUUCACUAGUAACAAGUAAUUAUCAUCUAUAAGCUCUUCCAAAGAACUACUUCUGUCAGAUGAGUAACCAGUUUGUGAGAAGAAUUGCAGCAAGCAGCGCAUAAACUACGAAUGUGGUACAGUUAAAAGGAAGUAUGUUAUAUUGAAAGAUACAUCUUAUUGGGUAUUCAUAAAUACAUUAACAGAUUAUGUUCCUUUAGUGGGCUAUUUGUAAUAGUUUAUUUUACGUGCUAUUGCUGUUUAUAUUAUUAACAAGCUCUCUUUACACAUGAGCUCAUAUCCUCAAUUAAAUUGGAGUCUGCAUCAAGCAGCACCAGGAGAGGGAUUGAGAGUCUCUCUCUCCCCCUCUUCUUGGGACAUUUACAACUAUAAGUUACACUUUGGGAAGUACCUCAGAUGCAAGUUUUUGAGUGCCAUCUGGCCAGGUGUGCUUAUUUUCAGAUGGGAUCCAGAUCCUGGGGUGCAUUACAUAGACCAUUAAUGAAUGCAGACCUUCUUUUGAGAAGCAGGAAAUGGUAGCAGCUGAAGAGGAAUGUAUUUUUGUUCUAUUGAGGGUUGAAAGCAUAUUUGCGAUGCCCAAGCAUGGUUUUUCUGCUUCCGUUUUGAUUUCUAUUGUUUAUUUAUAUAAUUUUGGAAUGAGUCUGUGCAUGGUUUUCUCCAUGAAUUCGGCCAUCAAGUAUUUGGGCCAAACUCAUGCCUGCCAGAAAAUAUCUUAUGGAUGCAUGAUUUUCAAGAUAGGCAUGUACAGCUUAGCGGUCAAAUGCUUAAAAGCUCUUAAUUUUAUUGCAUUUGGAAAUCUAAACCUUAUUGAAGAUAAAUAACUUGUGAUCUCAAAUGACAGAAAGCAGCAAUAGUAAUACUGUGAAACUAAGUGUUGCCCGUGUUUUUAAAUAUCUAAUGUUGAUACAUAUGUAGUAUUUUGCAGACUUAUAAAAACAACAAAAAAUUGUGUCAGCUGUGGAAAUCUUAUGGUUUCUUUAACCACAUACAUACUCAUACCCCUAAUAAAAGAGUGUACAUUCAUGUUCUAAAGAAUUUCCCUGGUCUCUGACAAUGUGGCUUCAUGAAGAUCUCAACUCAGAUUUUAAAAGAUUCCUGUGGUUAGUUUUCAAGAUUGUCUUCAACUUUUGGGGCCCUGAGUUCCCUUUGUAAAAAAGGAGUUAGGAACCCCUAUUGAGUCCUUUCUGUUAGGUUAUUUAUAUUAAGUCAUGAGUCAGUGUUACAAAUUUACCUUAUAAAACAAUUUGAUAUAUACUUCAACAAUGUGCAUAAGCUUAGGCUGGGGCACUCACAUGCAGGUAAUUAGCAAUGUGUUUGAUGGGAUUGACAUGAAAAGGGAACAAGAAAAUUGGGAAUGUGUGGUGAACACAGUUCUAGCUCUUUGCUAAAGGAGCUCCUGUUAAAGAUUUGUCUAUGUGAUUUGCAGCAGAGUGAGUGUUGCCAAACUCUUCUGGUCACCCAGUAAAGCAAAGCAUGUCCAUCCCUGCGUGAAUGACCAACAGGAAUGCUUACUGCUCCAGUGUCACCAUAAGCUUAAUGAGGCCUGGAAUACCUAACUGAUCCUUCUCCAAUAAAACUCUUUGUCUCUCAGUUGGGAAAGCUGUAAGGAAGUGUAGUGGAUAUAAAAGGACUUCCUUCCAAGGAAGAAAAAUACUUGCUUAUAUACAAAGAUAGUAUUAACUGGACAUCUUCCCUUUCUUGCUCCUCUUGUUUGUUUUAAUUCCAUAUCUGGCAUGAAAAUGACAGCAGGAGAGAACUCAUGUUUCCUGUGUACUCACACAAAGGGGAUGGAAACCUGUAGUAUCAAUGCAUGCCCUUCUUAAGCUGUGAAGACAAACACCCGAGGCAUUUCAAGAUCUGUGUUCAGUAUUUAGCGCUCUUCAUGAAGUUACGAACAAAGAGAUGCUUUCUGUUUUUUGGAGCAUAACGUUGUAUGCUGCUGAAGACGUGGAUGCUGAAAUUCAACCUCUGUUUAUUCACAGAGCAGUUAUAACAGACAGCUGCAGUUGCAUUUUCUUGACACUGUUCCACAAGUAAGACUUCUCCCUGACCUUUGGGGACCACUUACUUUAGGAAAGUGGAGAACUUGGUGUCAGUGUUUAUUCAAUCCUUGGACUCUUUUCUAAGGUUAUGCAAAAAGUCGUGGUAACAUUGUCAUAGCAACCACCACACACUUGAAACUGAAUGCUGACCACCGGUCUUACAUACAGCAGCUUUUUCUUUCCUACUUGUAUGGAUUGGAGCUAGUGACCUGAGCGUAGAAGUGCUUUGUGUGCUGGUAUUGACGUGCUUAGCUAAAAGCUAAUUUUAUUAUUAUAUGAUUGGUGGUGGCAGCGUAAGGAGGUAAUUUCAUGCUAAAUUUUGAUGUGCAAGUUAGGUACCUAUUUCUCUCAAGUGAAGGGGGGAAUUAAGCUCAUGAAAUUAGAUUUCUGAAUUGUAAGAAAGUGUAAAGUAGCAUAAUCCUAAAUGUGCACACUGUAAAAGUCCCUAGUGCUUAUGUGCAAAGAGAGAGCAUUAAGAAGUCACUGAGUAACUACCUAUCAGCACUUCAGCACUUUCGCAAUUGGGAAAGGUGCCAUCACUUUGGCUCCAAGAUCUUUAGGAUUGGAAAACUUCUAAAUGUUUGUAAAGAUAGUGGCACAUUUUUAAUGUGCUUUAGGCUAUAUUAUUCUGCCUGUUUUAAGUAUAGGAUUUUGGUCAGAAUCUGGUCCUGAAUAGAUAAUCAAGUGGUAUAUAUGCUUAUGAUACUAUGCAAACAUUUGUUUAAUAAAAGAAUUUAAUGGAACGCAUCUCACAGGUAUAUUUUCAAGAGCUCCUGGAGAAUAAUGGGUGAAGUCAAGAGGAAUUGUUACUGUUUUAUAGUAAUCCUGUUCCCUCUGAAGUCCUUUCAUUAUAAUAUAUACUAGUGUAUUAUAAGCAUCCCCAUAUCCAUUCCAUCUCUUAAUGAUUCAUUGUGAUUCACGGUGAAUUAAUAAAAUCAGUCAUCCAGUUAUGUAGACAACUGCAUAAUUUCUGGAAAUUUUAAUGGUUUGGAGUUGUCCCACAACAUGGAUAGUUCCUAUGUAGUGCAUAUUUCUACUUUUUUGUGUGUGUGAAUGAUUAUGUUUUGGUUCCUCCUUAACAUUUACAGGAAUGGGAAACAACAAUGCUAUUACUACUCUGGGCCUGGAUUAUUUUUUUUUCUCCCAGACAGAGCUUCCAGCCAUGAGAGAGAGUACGUCACUUAGUAAUCUGGUUGUCUUUCUGUUAGUAAGCAAUUUGAAAAUCUAUACCUUCUUGAAAGAGAAAUAACUUCCAGUACCGUAUAAGGAUAUGAGCUCUUUCUUGUUGAGCAACAAGUUUUUGCUAAUAGGGACUGUUAUUUCUAUCUCCUGGAAUAUUUAAGUCUAUCAGCUUUUUUUUUUUUCCCCCCCCACAGCACUUCUGUGUACAGAGAAAAGUUAGGCUGCUCCUGAUCUAAAAACUUGGAGCAAACUGUGAGAAUGUGCAGCUGAAUAGAAGGCAAGUCAAACUGCAGGAGUAUUUUAUCACCAACUCUGUAAAACAAAAAAGUAAGUCUGUAAUGGAGUUUCAAAGGUUGGUUUCUAAGUUGGUUUAGUUUUUAAUUAGUGAAAGAACCAAACGAGUUACAUAGUCAUUUGCUUAUGAAAACGAAUAUUUCAUAAAACCGCGUAGAUACAUUUUAUAUUAGACUGCCAAUUUGAUUAUAAUUGUGGGUAGUUUUUCAAGUUUUAUUUUGUUUUAAAAAUAUCUCAAUAAGUGUCAAAAACAAAAAUGCCUUGAUAAUGAAAUUUUCAAUCUCAAUCAACUGUAAUGUAAUGUGAUGUAAUAAAAUGAAUAAAGAUUUUAAUUACCCAACUGCCAUUUCAUUUUAUAAUACAGCAGCUGUUUAGCCACAGCCCAGGAACUGUAUUUCAUUUUAGGGAGGUUCCGAAGUUAUUUCAUUCUCUCCCUCUGCCCUUGUAAUAUUUCUCUUUAGACCUAACCUCAAAGGUAAAUAAUAAUAAUAAUAAUCCACUGAUGCAUUCUUUGCUGGACAGUGACUCCCUAGAUCUGGUUUUCCCCAUUUAAGCAUCUGACUAAGGACUAUGUCAUAUUGUCCAUUGCAAGGAGCAGGAAUGAAUUGUCAGAUAACAUAGCUAUUAGUUUAUGUGGAAAGGGGACAGAAAUAGCAACCUAUGAAGUAUUUCUUACUAAGUAGGAGUCUUGUUAUACCACACUUUCUCAAGGAAGGGGUUUCUGUGUGAUUUUGGAAAAGGUAGAUUCCUGCCUUGCAAGGAACAGUAUUAUCAUCUUAAAACAAUUGUACGUCAUACAAUACCUGAUGUAGUAAUGGUUCUCAGAGAUCCAGCUGUGCUGAACCACAUUAUUUCUGAAUACAUUUUUAAUAGAAGUUCUAAACUAUCAAAGGAGCAAAUAAACACCUUGAAAGCAUGUCUCCUAAAUGCCCCAACAACAGAAGUAAAAUUAUUCUUGCAACUAAUGAUUAAAAAUUGCAGCCUCAGUCAAAACCAUGAUAGUUGAGUGUUUGGGGCUGCCUACUACUGUCUGUUUUGGAAUAAAGAAAUUAAACCCAACACAGAGAUUGAGGUAGGAAUUUAUGCACUUUACAAGUCAGGUGGCCUCAGAGUCUGUAAUUCCUAAACAAGGGAUCUUACGGGGGAGGAAGUUCUAUGGUGCAAAGCAUAUCCUAAGCCACAGUUGGGAUCUCAAGCUGUGAUCUCAGAUUGACUGGUUCAUAAAGUUGGAAAUAUGCAGAAACAUGUUAAACAAAGAGUACCACACUUUUUAGCCCUGCAUGUCUUAUCUAUGGUUGUUUGCAAAAGUGUUUAUGCACUGGCAGGAAUACGUUCAAGUAGUCUUGUGGAAAUCCAAUGUGAUUUUGGAAGUUGUCUCGCACUUUUAGACAUCUGCAACCUCCUCCCUUCAUCAAGGGGGGACACUAUAAAGUUUGAAGUUACAAAUCUUGUAUGCAGAAUAUGAGCCCCACAAAGUAAAGGUGGGGCUUCAUCUUGGAGGGAGUACGUUUGAAUCCACAAUGCAUCUUUAAGACAGAAGCAAGACAUUAAGCUCUUUAUGUUAAUACGAAAAAGAGUUUUUCCACCUGGAAUGUGAUUCAAUAGGGCAGUCAACCAUUUCUUUAGCUUUGAAGAUGUUGAAAUGGACCCUGGGUUAAAAAGAACCAGUUCCCGGCCUGUCUCUAAAACCAGUUGCUUAGGACUGAGCAAUCUGAGUUUCCUUUCUGUUACAUGAAGAUCCAAGGAGACUCAUCCUCCGUUCUCAGUUCAGUUCUGCCUUGUUUUAAGACUUUCAGUACUCAGUAGUGUACCCCAGACUGUUAUAUUUUGAAAGGGAUUGCACUCCCCUUAAGUGAUAGGGGAAUCCCAUUUUUCUGUCUCAAGGGUGAAUAGUAGAAGGCACUUAUUAUCAUGGCAGAUUGUGGCUGUUGUCAAUUGCCAUGUAAAUUAAGGUCAUGCAAGUACCUUGUACUGUUUUUUUCUUCCCUUUUUUUGUAGUCUGGUUACUAGUAAAUACUACAUAUUCAGUGAAAUGUCCUAAAAAACGUUACUUUUUAACUUUAACAUUUUUUUUUUUUGUUCUUUUUCCCUAAGUCUACCAGUAGCUGUUUUUAUUUUGAUAUCCACAUUGGGUCCAACAAAUUGCUGCUUGAAGUGGUUUUUAAAGUAUCUAUGAUAUCAGCCAAUGACCUAAGUGUAACUUUGAAAAGUUUCUUGCAUGAGUUGCAGGAGCUGUAGGGCAACUGAAGUAAUAAGCAAUGAUGACUCAUAAAGAAUAAGAUGAGCUGAAGUGGGAAUUUACAGGAAGAGCACAAGCUAUGGCUUUGCUCCUCUGUGACUUCAGGGCUAUUUUUGUUAGUGGUAAGGGAACUUUUACAUGCCUAGACAGAAGGAAAAAUGAUACUCUAAAAUAACAAGGUUGGUGCAUGGACUAGAGUAUACUAACCACCCCUGUAUUUUGGUGCAGGAAGAACCAGGAACUAGCCCACUUCAUUUGCUACAAUAAUAGAAUCUGCCGGGGUUAAGGUACAUCCAGGUACAUUCUCAAUAGUUAUAGCUGUUGUAUAGUUUGCAACGGAACACUUCAAAUUAGAGCUGCUGAAGAAGUUACUGUCCUCGAUAUGACUAGACUGUGAAAUCCCCUAUCCCAAUGUAUAUUUUACUUUAACUGGAGUAGAGGAUUCAAAACAGUAUGACUGGUGUCUUCCCAAACCCUGUGUUACCCACAGAGAGAAGCAUAUGAAGAAGGUUCUAUUGAAAUUAGUCUUAAAAAAAAGACAUUACUGCUUUCAACAAGCAACAACAGCAAAAAAAAAAAAAAUAACCAAGUAAAGCUAGAUGUAAUUUUCUCAUUAAUACAAAAUCCCUGUUAUUCCUAUGUCUGUCAAGUUUUCUGAAAACUCUUUUAGAGAUGAAUAGAACUGAUCUGUUGCUGGUUGGAUUCAAGGUGGAUGUUUGUUCUGUAUAUCUGUGAAUGUCCUGCAGCCAAGAAAGAUUUGAUUAUUUGAAAGAAAAAAAAAAAAAAAAAGGAAAAUUAAAUUUUAAGGAACCUCAUGAAGUAAACUUUCUUGCUACAACAGCUCUCUUCUGACUCCCCACUGUGAACACAGCAGGAAAACAUCUACCUACAGCUGCCCUGCAUAUAGCUUGUGUUAGCAUAACUCAUCCACACCCACAAAGGCAUACAAAACUAUUUCCAAGGCUUUUGCCUUGUGUUUACCUUUUGCUGGCAUUGUGCCAUUCAGGAGUAACAGCCAAAAGGAAAAAUUCCUUUCAGUGACAUUCAUUGACCUAAGCCAGAAACAAGGUAGAAAGAUAUGCUUUUCUUUUUCAUGCUUGGGAAGUCAGAGGCAGUGCCAAUUUAAGCUGUGACUGAGGCUCUGCAAUGAUGCAAGUCUAUCUUACUACUUCAAAUUCAGUGAUGCAGCCUGAGUUUAUAUUAACUUUCAAGGAUUCAACCAAUUUAAAGCUUUUGGACAAUGUAUUAUUUUACUACAAGUUUAUUUUCUUCAUUUACAUUGUUUUGCAUCUCCGUCUCAUUCAAAGCAGUCAGGACUGGUUUGCUUCUCUCUUCUCUGCAAAUUUGCAGUAGGAACCAUUGUUAGAAUCAGAAUCCUGAUCUAAGAGAAUGAUGAAAAAUAUUGCACUCCAAGUUAGAAAUUGGAGAGGAAAAUGUUCAUGUGUAUGUAAGAAUUGUGCUUAAACAGCUUAUUUUAAACUUUUAAGGGAAAACUUUAAACCUACAAACAGUUCAACAUUACACCUUUUGUCUUACGUACCCUUGUAGUUAUAGAAGUCUAAGAAAAACAGGGUGGUUAAUGUAUAUAGUUCUCAUAUCUUGCAAAGGAAUUGUGCAGCAAUUUGUGUCAAUAGGGGAUAAGAGAACGAAGGGGUUUCAGAGUAACUGCAAACUAUUAUGACUAUUGCAUGGGACACUAUGCAAGUUUCUGAUAUGUGGCCAAGAGCUUAAGGAGAAGGGAAAAAGCUGAAGGACAACUAAAAGACAAAGCUUGCAUGGGACGCUGCACAAGUCUCUGACAUCUGGCCAAGAUGGACAAAGGAGAAGGACAAGGAAAAAGCCU